rnacentral:rRNA from 1 species
UACGAAGGGGACUGGCGUUGUUCGGAAUCACUGGGCGUAAAGCGCACGUAGGCGGAUUUGUAAGUCAGGGGUGAAAUCCCGGGGCUCAACCUCGGAACUGCCUUUGAUACUGCGAAUCUUGAGUCCGAUAGAGGUGGGUGGAAUUCCUAGUGUAGAGGUGAAAUUCGUAGAUAUUAGGAAGAACACCUGCGGCGAAGGCGGGUAGCUGGGCCGACACUGACGCUGAGGCGCGAAAGCCAGGGGAGCGAACGGG